UUUCUGCUGGGAAGGCUGAACUCCUCACCCCUAUUGAGAAGGGGGGCGGGGAGAAGAGCGCUUUGCUAGGUUGGUCUCGUUCAUACUUUAGAUACCUGGUAAGCCUUGGAACACAACUGAUCAACCCUAAAGGCUCUGGUUAGAGUCCUUGGAUCUGGCUGGGGUCUUUAUCUCCUCCAGCCUCCCACUAAUUGAUUUAAGUCGCGCUGUGUCAGCUGUACCCUGGAGGGCUACAGGCUUUAGGGAGCAAUUAGGCGCUAAGCUGUGACGUGGUGCUUGAAAGGGGAAGAUGGAAGUGACCGGGACCAACUUGUGGCUUGCUCUCUACUUCAGGUCUUUUCCACCUCUCUCUCUCUCUCUCCUUUCUUUGGCCCCUUAUCACCUCCUGGGCUGUAGGGUGGGGCAGUUUGUCCUGCUGUUGUUCCUGGCCCCGAGGGGUGCCCCGCCUCCUGGUCACCCACGGAGCGUGGGGCGGAGCCGCUCUGGCCUGCAGAGAGAGGGCCACGCCAGCAGAAGGCUUGCCUGAACUGGGAGGUGGCUGUACUCGAUUUACUACACGAGAUUCCAGUGUCCCCGCCCCUUCCGGCUCCUCCACCUGGCCCCGAGCCCAAGUUUGGAAUAUGACCUUUUUAGACUCUCUGCAACCGAGGUGGGUCGGAGGACCCGCCAUCCCCGCUCUCCACGGCCCCCAGUGUUUUCUCGGAUUGUUCCGUGCCAAUGGGAACCAGGAGGGAAAGUUGAACAAAAACCUUCAGAGCUAUUAAAUUGUCGCGUGAUGGAGGAGGGUCUUGCUGUGUCCGGGCUAGUCCUAGUGACAGGUUAGGACCCUAGGUAUAUCCCUUUGUACCAACGUUCGCUGGUUUUCCGCCUGGCUUCCAGAAAUCACUAAGCCCAUCCUCUGCUUGUUCCCUGGAGCUGUUAAGUAGCUGAGACUUGGAGCGGUCAGGCUGCCUAACCAGGUAGAUAAGAUAGCCUGGCUUCACCCCUCUGCUAGAGUCUUUAUCUCCCCCCUCUUAUCCGUUCCAUCUGCAUUUGGAUAGCUCAAUAAUUGAUUUAUGGGGCCUCUGAAUAGGGGAGUGGUGGCCUUAGCCUCCCCCACCCAAAUUUGUACUUUGUCCUUAAAGGCUGCAGUCUGUUCUCCUCUGCCCCCCUGGAUCUGAGCUUUAGUCUCUGCAGUGACCACCUGACAGCUCCCUGAGGGGGGUUUGAGGCAAGAACCCACAGAAGCAAUUUCUUGCUUUCCUCUGCUCUCUAGGAAUUCCUGGACAAUGGAGAGUGCCCCAGGCCCCCUGAACAUCUUGCUGAUGAGGGAGUAAAGCCACCCUGGGUGGGUGUGAGUGCGCGCGCGCGCGCCUAUCUCCUCAGCUGGCCCGGCCCGACCUCUGAGGAGGCUCUCACCAGCAGCUGGCUAGAUUCCUGGUUAUUUUUAGUUACAGAUCCAGCCCCACCAUCACCACCAGAGUUGAGUCCAAAUCCAACACUCUAGGCCGGGUAGUGCUGGGACUUUGCCAGCCUCCUGCUGAGUGAAUUCUCCCCUUGGCAAACUGCAGCCAGCCAGCCUCCUGGGUCGAGAGCCAAGCCAAAAGAUGUCUGAGAGAAGAAACCUGGGGUCCUGCAAAGGUAAGUGGGUCCCAGCCCACUCUCAAUCCCCCUCUCUCUGUGUGAUUGCUAUUCCACACUGGAGUCACCUGCUCUGUGCUUCUGAGGAACCUCACCUCUGGCACAUCAAUGGAAAUUGUCCUUCCCUUUUUAUUUAUUUUUAUUUAUUUUUUAUUUUUUGCCACCCUCACUGGCCACUAAGAGAUAGCCCUAGCUCCUCCUCUCCUGCCUGGUUUUGACAGGACUCACUCCAUUGAGUCCUGUCUCGUCUCUUUGCAGCCCUCCUCCUCCCCCCCCCCCCCCUUCAGCCAGCACUUAGGCCCUCCCUGAUUUAGCCCGUUACCUUGACAACCACUUGGGCCUGUCUCCCUCAUCACCACUGAAAACCUGAAGGUGGUUUUCCAGCUGCGGUACAUUUGCCCAAGUUGGGCACCCCUCCAGCUUCUAUUGGCUCGCCCUCUAUACAGCUGUACCCAAUAUAACAAACACAACCUUCCUGGCCCCUCAGCUGUAGUCUCGAAAUUGAUCUCACUGGUCCCGGGAACUCCGUCAAUACUGCCUCCUCUAGACUGAGCUCCUCACAGGCAGGAACAUGGUUGUUUCUCAAUAAACAA
rnacentral:lncRNA from 1 species